CAGGCCCACGCAGGGGGUAUAGAAGGCCAUGGAGGGGGUGUGAGGCCACGAAACACUGAUUGGGCCUUAAUUGGGAUUAGGCCCAAUCCGGAUGGAUAUUCAACGAGGGAACGCAAGGUUCCCCUCAUCUUCUUCCCUUCACUCACGACCAACGGCAGCCCAAUGCCAAACGCCGAUCCCGGCCACACCGGCGACGUAACACGGCGGUCCCUACGCCGUCCUCCGUUCUGAACUCCCUUCACCAAAACGAGAUAACAUGAUCCUACCACUUAGAAACGUCUACCACGAUCCUUCGACGCGGUAAAUCGAUUAUGAACGAAAACAGAAACGGAUUCAUGUCGCUCUCACGAAUCAGAUCGAAUACUCGAAGCAGAAUGAACUCGGUGAUGACUCACACCACAACACCAUAAUCAAUCAUCAUAACAGGAAGAAACAACCUACCGGCGGAUGCGACGGGAACGAAGGAGACGACUGCGAAAAUUUAUACGCUUUCACUCCUUCGUUUUCCUUCGUCUUCUCUUCCUUCUAUCCGUUUCUGGCGAUGGAGACGAUUCUGAUUCAAUCGAAAGAGGCUUUGUUUGGUUGCUCCAGCUGACGAACGGCGAUUCGACUUGCAGGAAUUGGUGGAUUCGUCGCCGUAACGCUCUCCUGCAGGUUAAAGAAGAAGGAGGAGAAGCAAUUCUGCAGGUUGCGUUUUGGAAGAUUUUUAAAGAAGAAGACCUCACUCAAUUUUGAUGUUUAUAUAGUGUUCUGAAAAUCGAAUUCCAUCUUGAUGGUAGCUUACCGUUGGCUUCGUUGCAAUUACCGCUUGUUGUUGCUUGGCUGCACUUUGGAUUGGUCGUUUCUGUUAUGCUGCUUGGCUACGCUACUUGUAAUUCAAAUUUUGACGCAAGUUUGGCUUUUUAGCUCGUGGCUUCAUGUACAUUAUUAUCAAUCCGUAUGGAUGAUGGAAUUGGAUUUGGUUAGUUUGGUAGGUUAACUGGAUAUGGAUAUGGGAAGAAAAACUGAAUCUUAUUGAAAAAUGGUUUUUUAGAACAUGGA